UUGACCGGCCUGGAAAUUGAAAUCCUCUUUACUUACAGAUCAGUUAUAACAAGGACAGCAGCAGUGCAUGCUUCUCUAGAUGUCUUGCCAAUGUGCCUCACCUUAUGGCCAGAGCUGAUGAAUAGUAAGUUCAGCCUCUGCAUCUACUAAUUCUUUGAUCUUU
ensembl:misc_RNA